rnacentral:rRNA from 1 species
AUUGAACGCUGGCGGCAGGCCUAACACAUGCAAGUCGAAUGGUAACAGGAAACAGCUUGCUGUUUCGCUGACGAGUGGCGGACGGGUGAGUAAUGUCUGGGAAACUGCCUGAUGGAGGGGGAUAACUACUGGAAACGGUAGCUAAUACCGCAUAACGUCGCAAGACCAAAGAGGGGGACCUUCGGGCCUCUUGCCAUCAGAUGUGCCCAGAUGGGAUUAGCUAGUAGGUGGGGUAACGGCUCACCUAGGCGACGAUCCCUAGCUGGUCUGAGAGGCUGACCAGCCGCACUGGAACUGAGACGCGGUCCAGACUCCUACGGGAGGCAGCAGUGGGGAAUAUUGCACAAUGGGCGCAAGCCUGAUGCAGCCAUGCCGCGUGUAUGAAGAAGGCCUUCGGGUUGUAAAGUACUUUCAGCGGGGAGGAAGGGAGUAAAGUUAAUACCUUUGCUCAUUGACGUUACCCGCAGAAGAAGCACCGGCUAACUCCGUG